rnacentral:lncRNA from 1 species
AUCAGAAAAUCUCUAGAUCUAAGAUCUUAUUACAUGAUUAUUAUAUGGUAUUAAAUCAGAAAUUAAAAUAUAUAAAUAUAGCAUGAACUACAUGUUGAUCAUAUCAACAUGUUUCUAUACUACAUCUAAUGUAUGUAUUAAACAAUAGAUCAGAUCUAUUACCUUGCAAGUUAGAUGUUCUAACCUUGUUGAUCUGGGCUUGAGGAUGAUGUUGCAAGCCGCACACACGUCUGGCCUCUAGGAGUCGUCCACACGAGCCCACGAAUCUCGAUUAGAAGUCCUGCUUCAGGAAAUCAGCACAGUAUGCUAGUACUGCGCUGAUCCUUCUUUGAUGGUUGAUCAGGUGCCUCCUUCUUCUUGAUUUGGACUCUUCCAAAGAUAGAAAGUAAAAGGAGGAGUUUCAAAUCUGAGACACUCUCAGGAAACUCAAGAUGG